AGCGCACACAAGAAAUGGGGCCUGCGGCUUAAUUUGACUCAACACGGUGCAACUCACCCGGCCCGGACACAGGAAGGAUUGACAGAUUAAGAGCUCUUUCUUGAUUCUGUGACAGGUGGUGCAUGGCCGUUUCUAGUUGGUGGAGUGAUUUGUCUGCUUUAUUGCGAUAACGAGCGAGACUCUAGCCUACUAAAUAGACUCGGUAUCAUUUACUGUACCGAGGCCUUCUUAGAGGGACAAGCGGUGUUCAGCCGCACGAAACUGAGCA
rnacentral:rRNA from 1 species